GAUGAACGCUGGCGGCGUGCUUAACACAUGCAAGUCGAACGGUAAGGCCCUUCGGGGUACACGAGUGGCGAACGGGUGAGUAACACGUGGGUGAUCUGCCCUGCACUUCGGGAUAAGCCUAGGAAACUGGGUCUAAUACCGGAUAGGACCACUGCCUGCAUGGGUGGUGGUGGAAAGCUUUUGCGGUGUGGGAUGGGCCCGCGGCCUAUCAGCUUGUUGGUGGGGGGAUGGCCUACCAAGGCGACGACGGGUAGCCGGCCUGAGAGGGUGACCGGCCACACUGGGACUGAGAUACUGCCCAGACUCCUACGGGAGGCAGCAGUGGGGAAUAUUGCACAAUGGGCGCAAGCCUGAUGCAGCGACGCCGCGUGAGGGAUGACGGCCUUCGGGUUGUAAACCUCUUUCAGCACCGACGAAGCGCAAGUGACGGUAGGUGCAGAAGAAGGACCGGCCAACUACGUGCCAGCCGCCGCCGUAA
rnacentral:rRNA from 1 species